rnacentral:sRNA from 1 species
AUUGGGAUUUUAUUGUUGUCGUUGAUCUUUGGUCUCCAACAUAACGAUAAAUUCUUGCUUCAAAAGAUUGGAGGUACAGAUGGUACUGACCACAUGAAGAAAGCAAUGUUAAGAACUAUGACAAACUCGUACAUGGCUGGUCUAAACAUGAAGGGAAAACGGGGAAAGAAAGCUUUUGGUUCCUCCCAACUCUACCUCCUUAUAAAAGAAACUGUAUUGACAUCUCAUACACAGUAUACAGAAUCAAAAUUCAAUGAAGAUUUGGCUAAAUUCCUAAAAUAUGCCCCGGAGCGUGUGGGAGGAGGUGGAAGAAGGAGAAGAGAUUGACUGUUUUUCACGUUCACUUGACCAGAACUAAUGAUUUUACUCUUUUUCAUCUUCUUAAACUAAUGUUUUUGUGAAAAGCUGGCUACAGAUGUGAGCUAGGUUAUCCAUCAGUGAUUUUAAGUGAUACUUUCAAUUUAUUUAACUGUUUCUCUCUUGAAUAAAUUGAUUAAUGAU